rnacentral:rRNA from 1 species
UACGUAGGGUGCGAGCGUUGUCCGGAAUUAUUGGGCGUAAAGAGCUUGUAGGCGGUUUGUCGCGUCUGCUGUGAAAAUCCGGGGCUCAACCCCGGACUUGCAGUGGGUACGGGCAGACUAGAGUGUGGUAGGGGAGACUGGAAUUCCUGGUGUAGCGGUGGAAUGCGCAGAUAUCGGGAAGAACACCCGUGGCGAAGGCGGCACUCUGGGACGGUACUGACGCUGAGACGCGAAAGCGUGGGGAGCGAACAGG